rnacentral:rRNA from 1 species
ACGUAGGGCGCGAGCGUUGUCCGGAAUUAUUGGGCGUAAAGGGCGUGUAGGCGGCUGGGCGCGUCUGCCGUGAAAUCCUCUGGCUCAACUGGUGACGGGCUGUGGGUACGGGCUGGCUUGAGUGCGGUAGGGGAGACUGAAACUCCUGGUGUAGCGGUGGAAUGCGCAGAUAUCAGGAGGAACACCGGUGGCGAAGGCGGGUCUCUGGGUCGUUACUGACGCUGAGGAGCGAAAGCGUGGGGAGCGAACAG